UAGGAUUGCUUUAAGGUAUUAUUAUUAUUUUAUUUUGUCUUUAUUGUAAGAUAACUUUUUUUUCUACUUUCCCCCCCAUGCUUUAAGGUAUUUUAAUAUCACUUUAUCUGAAACAAAUGGAUCCGAGAACGUAGAAAAACACCCCAUGCAUGAUGAGAGAAGCGAAGCAUUCUGGAAAAUAGACCGUUUUCCAGAAUGAAAGGUUAGUUGUGGUGUACGGCUGGCCUUUCGGGCAGAAGUAAUAUUGCCUUGAAAACAAAAACUAGGAGACGUCGCUAAUCCAGUAUUUCAUAGAGCAAAAAGAAAAAAAACCAAUCUAUAAAAAUGAGAAAGCGGAAAAUGUCUAGUCCCUCGAGAGCAAAUUCCACUGCUGGAAUAUAUAUAGCAUUUUUUUUUUUCAACAGAACCAGAAUGUAGAAUAAAAUUGUUAUGGUAAUUUUGGAGGAAAGUGAGCACCACCGGCCGGUUAGCUCAGUUGGUUAGAGCGUGGUGCUAAUAACGCCAAGGUCGCGGGUUCGAUCCCCGUACGGGCCAAGUGUGCUUUUUAUUUUUCUGGGUUUUUUUCCUGGCUUGCCCACUCGGUUUCCCACCAACCAUGUGAUCACUGCGUGAACUUUCCAGAGAGAAAAACAAAUUGUUCAAGGAUUAAGUGUUACAGGACAACUGUUACAACCCCUCGGACCACGUAAAAUGUUGUGUCAAGAGGUGUUUAUCCAGUUCUUAGAGAUUUACCGAAGUAACCGCCCAGAAGAGUCAAGUAACCUGGCUUAUCAGAAAAAACAAAACCAAAACAUCACUAAAGUUAAAGGUAUAUAAAAGUAUAUAAAUUGUACUUAUUAAACAGGUAUCGAACAGUAUCAAAAAGAGUUUGUUCAAUAAUUAAGAAAACAAAGGAGGUCCUAACAAGCGAGGCUCGUUGGUCUAGGGGUAUGAUUCUCGCUUAGGGUGCGAGAGGUCCCGGGUUCAAAUCCCGGACGAGCCCUGGUUUUGUUUUCUGUCACUGAGUUUGGAAGUUUAAACUUAGCUGUACCCAUAAGGGUGUCAAUGUUGCGUUCGAUUUUGCAAGUGAUCAUUCAAUGUACUCCGUUCCGGAUUGUAUCUAGAAAUCUCUCUAAUUAAAACAAGUUGUUUUCAGAUUUGACUUUCACUUUUUCCUCCAGUGGGUCUCAGUCUCUCUAGGACAUCAUACCCCGAGCCAUCCAAAGUCAGGGGCAAUAAAUUCUGCAAAAGCAGUAUCCUGCA
rnacentral:tRNA from 1 species